GUCGCGUUAUAGCUUCCCGUGACUCGGAAAGUCGCGAUUUGAAAACGCUUUCUCCUUGAAAGCGCUUUCAACUCUCGACUGUCCGAAUCAUGGUGAGCCAUUUUAUGAAGA
rnacentral:pre_miRNA from 1 species